rnacentral:rRNA from 1 species
GACGAACCGUCCAAACGUUGUUCGGAAUCACUGGGCUUAAAGGGCGCGUAGGCGGCCCGCUAAGUCGAACGUGAAAUCCCCGAGCUCAACUCGGGAACUGCGUCCGAUACUGGUGGGCUUGAAUCCGGGAGAGGGAUGUGGAAUUCCAGGUGUAGCGGUGAAAUGCGUAGAUAUCUGGAGGAACACCGGUGGCGAAGGCGGCGACCUGGGUCGAGACUGACGCUGAGGCGCGAAAGCGUGGGGAGCAAACAGG